rnacentral:lncRNA from 1 species
GUGACGCUAUCAGGGCUUUUCCAAUUCUGAAAUCUUAUUGGGAUGUUAUCUCUUACAAGAAACCCAAUCUGAUUCACCAUUUUUUUCUUAGCGUUGGUAGGAGCAAUCAAUUCACCAUCUUCAGCAAUUUUCAUGAUGAUGAUACGACCCUCUAACUUCUUCUUCUUGCCUCGUUUCUUUUGAGUCCUGCUCCUCUAUCCAAAUGGCUGAAAAAUGACAAUUUGUUGCCUGAUGAUGUUUCUUUUUAUAAGUAGAAAAUUCAAAUAAUGUUUACGUAUAAUAAUUUCUAUACCUCGCCUUGUUGCUCAUCAUUGCC